rnacentral:rRNA from 1 species
CAGUCGCCGCGGUAAUACGAAGGGUGCAAGCGUUACUCGGAUUAACUGGGCGUAAAGCGUGCGUAGGCGGCUUCUUAAGUCGGAUGUGAAAUCCCUGAGCUUAACUUAGGAAUUGCAUUCGAUACUGGGAAGCUAGAGUAUGGGAGAGGAUGGUAGAAUUCCAGGUGUAGCGGUGAAAUGCGUAGAGAUCUGGAGGAAUACCGAUGGCGAAGGCAGCCAUCUGGCCUAAUACUGACGCUGAGGUACGAAAGCAUGGGGAGCAAACAGGAUUAGAUACCCCGGUAGUCCCUGUCUCUUAUAC